rnacentral:rRNA from 1 species
AUGCAAGAAACAAACUCCCACCGGCGCCAUUCCUGCUCUGUAACCCCACGCGUGCCCCGCUACCUGCGCACCGCCGCGGCCCUGGCCGCCGCGGUCCAGAGCGUCAUCAACACGCCCCCGCCGCGCCCCGAGUCGCAGAGCCUCCACGCGCAGCUCCUCACCUCCGGCCUCCGCCCCACCGCCGACCUCUCCGUCAAGUUCCUCAUCCUGCACCUGCGCUGUGGCUCCCACCGCAACGCCCGCGCGGUGUUCGACGGAAUGCCCCGCCCGACCAACGCCGCGCACAACUACCUCGUCGCCGGGUACUUCCGCCUGGGGCUCCCCUGGGAGGCGCUGGGGAUCGUGCGGCGGCUCGCGGCCUCCACGGGCCGCCUGGACGUGUUCGCGCUCUCCAUGGCGCUCAAGCUGUCGGCGGCGCUGGCGCUGCCCCGCGCGGCGAGGGAGGUCCACGCGCGCGUCGUCAGGUCCCCCGCGGAGCUCGACGACAUCCUCGUCGCGGCGUUGGUGGAUGCCUACGUGAAGAACGCGUCGCUGGGCUAUGCUCGGCGGGUGUACGGCAUGGUGCCGGAGCCGGGCAUGGUGUGCUCGACGGCGCUGAUCGUCGGCUGCAUGAACCAAGGGCUGUACAGGGACGCCGAGGCCAUAUUCAACGGGAUGGAGGAGAAGGACGUCGUGGCGUACAACGCAAUGGUGGAGGGGUACAGCAAGACGGAGGAGACCGCGGAGAGCUCGCUGGAGGUGUUCAAGGCGAUGCAGCGAGCGAGGUUCCGGCCGACGGUGUCGACAUGCGUGAGCGUGCUUGGCGCGUGCUCGCUCUUGUCGUCGCCGGAGCUCGGGGAGCAGGUGCACUGCCAGGUCAUCAAGAGCAAGGUCAUCUCUGACAUCAAGGCGGGGAGUGCGCUGCUCGACAUGUACUCCAAGUGCGGCCGAGUUGAGGAGGGGCGGAGGGUGUUCGACGGGAUGGCAGAGAGGAACGUCAUCACAUGGACUUCGAUGAUCGAUGGCUACGGGAAGAACGGCCUUUCAGAUGAGGCUCUCUUGCUGUUGGAGGAGAUGCGGGGGCAGCAGCGGGGCGUCAGGCCAAAUCAUGCCACAUUCCUGAGCGCCCUGUCGGCGUGCGCGCGCGCCGGACUGCUGUCCCGAGGCCAGGAGGUGUUCCAGAGCAUGGAGCGCGACUGCUCGCUCAAACCACGGAUGGAACACUACGCUUGCAUGGUGGACCUGUUGGGCAGGUUCGGCAGCGUGCGCCAGGCAUACGAUUUCGUCAGGGGGAUACCGGCGAGGCCAAACUCUGACGUGUGGGCGGCCCUCCUCGGGGCGGCCACCCUGCACGGCGACGUGGACAUUGCCAAUGUUGCGUCAAGGGAGGUAUUUGAGUUGAGCCGCGCCGGGAGACCGGGCGCCUACAUGGCCUUCUCCAACACCCUUGCGGCCGCCGGAAAAUGGGACUCUGUGCACCAAGUUAGAGAGAUGAUGAAACAGCGUGGCGUGCUCAAAGACGCAGCAUGCAGCUGGGUUGGGUCUGACAACUGUCCACCUGUCAACUGA